rnacentral:rRNA from 1 species
ACGGAGGUGGCAAACGCUGUUCGGAAUCACUGGGCUUAAAGGGCGUGUAGGCGGCCGAUCAAGUCGGGUGUGAAAUCCCUCGGCUCAACCGAGGAACUGCAUCCGAUACUGGUCAGCUAGAGUGCGAGAGGGGUGAGUGGAACUCCAGGUGUAGCGGUGAAAUGCGUAGAUAUCUGGAGGAACGCCGGUGGCGAAAGCGACUCACUGGCUCGCAACUGACGCUGAGGCGCGAAAGCUAGGGGAGCGAACGGG